GUCUUUGUAGUAUACUCAUUACCUUGGUCUUGUAAACCAAAAACGGAGAACCCAAUCUCCCUAAGACU
rnacentral:tRNA from 1 species